UCCCUUAGAGCUUAGUGGUAGAGCAUUCGACUAGAUAGCGGAAAAUCCUCGGUUCAAAUCCGAGUGGAGGCA
rnacentral:tRNA from 1 species